AGCUUUGCGCAGUGGCAGUAUCGUAGCCAAUGAGGUUUAUGCGAGGCGCUAUUAUUGCUAACUGAAAACCCUUCUAGUUCCCAUAGAAUCGGCUGUAAUGUUGCCUCUUUCAUUUCUGAUAUUAGUAACUUGGUUCUA
rfam:Mustela putorius furo unplaced genomic scaffold scaffold00884, whole genome shotgun sequence.